rnacentral:lncRNA from 1 species
UAAAUAGAUUACAUUACUAUUGAUGAAACUUUAUAGUAAUUGACAGAUGAUAAACUGAGGUAAUUAUACUGUUUCAAAUAGCAAUAGAUGUAACUUUUAUAAAAUUUUAAUUGCCAAGGAGAUGCCAAAGGUAUUGUGCUCCAAGGAGAUUCUAAUAAAGGUAUUGUGCUCGGCACAAACUUGGUCAUUUUUCUCAGCCUCAUCAAAUUGUUGCAACUUAUAACGACUUCAACAAGGUACCUUAAUGUUGACAAUGAGUGCAUUUUAGGAAUAGGAAAUUGGGUUUUCAGCUUGCUAAGUCCGCAUGUUUUCAGUGUUAGAAUGGCAGAGAAGUUACAACUUGAACUUUUUAGCCCACUCUCAUGCAAUAAGUAACACUCAAAGACCAACCACUGUAGGUACCCUUUUCUUGAGGUUUUCACUGCCAAUGACGAUGGUAAGUUGUAGCACGAGACUUAGCAAUCACCUGAGUUGGUGGUGUAGAAGCAGUACCAGUAGGUUCUGGAUUGGAGCAGCAGUGACUACAUUAACUGGUUGUAACAUUAAAGGGACGUUGGCAAUCAGUUAUAACCUAUUAUAACUUAUAAUAGAAGUAGUAAUGUAACUGCAGUAGCAAAAAUACCAAUACUAGAGUCUGUUAACUUCAGCUUAAGAAAAGAAUUAAGCUUGUUGUACGUUAUUAUUUAUCAGAUAUAAAAAAAAAUUCAGAAGAUGGUACUUCUUUUACCAUCACAAUUUACCUUUCUUAUGCUUGUUUCUCUUGGAAUUUUAGUUUCUCCCAGUGAGAACUCUCUUGUUGAUCCUCUCCAUUUCUGUCUUUGUCAUUGUCGCAGAAACACUGUGUUCGCAGGGGCUCGUCCACGAGAAGUGGUAAGUACAUUUCCGUCAUUGUCAAAUUAUCUGAAAAAUUCAUUUGGAAAUUUCAAGUUAUGUAAAUCUUCUUUCUGCUUGAUGCCUUCUAAACCUCCAUUUAUAGGCUUUUUGGAUACUCAUUUUUUAACUCGGUCUUGCUGCUACUCCAGAUGUGGUUUUAUCUUAAUAAUUGAUGGUUGUGGGUCUUUUCUGCAUCUUUUCCGUAUGGUUGCUCCAUGGUUAGCUUUAUUAUCGUGAUUGUCAAUCUGUCUACCAGGUUCUGAAGGAUCGGGGGAUUGAUGGUGUUGCCGUUAACCUUUAUGACAGUCAACCUCCUUCUCGGUAUCAAUAUAAUUUCAGUUCUUUUUAAUGAGAGUUUCUAUGAAUUAAAGAUUUGUACAUGUUCACACAACUUCUUUUCUCAUCUUUAUUUGCAUUAUUUACUGCGUGAAGGAUCAAUCAAGAUGCUCCCAAGAUGGAUCCAGUGUCGGUGCAAGUUACUCCUGCCGGUUAUAGUGAGAAAGCUAAAAAAUUUCUUGGUGAUCAACGGGUAGCGAGGAGUUCUGAUAGGCGAGAUCAACGUAUGGACAUUGAAAGAACAGAUGCACGGAGGAGGAACAAAGGAAAUGAAAGUUGGAGGAAUUACAGAGAAAUUGUAAAACACGAUGACCUGCAGCCGCAGCAACAGGAGAGGGACCUGUCACCUGACACCUGGUGCAAGCCUGUCGAAAGUCCAAAACCCGACUCCACGCCUGCCCCUGAGCAGCGUCAUGGGAAAGUGACUUCCGCUCUUGAGCUUGUGCAGGCCUUCUCCAGACCAGUCUCUGAUCCGACUAUUGCUGAUUGUCUUUCUGGCCCCCAAGGCAUUCCGAGCCAGAGUCAGAUAUCUUUUUCUCGGUUAACAGGUUGAGGCCCGAAGCCUCAGAUUAAUGGUUACUGAAUUUUCGCUAUAGCAGAUACAUUUAAAACGAGAGAAACUUUCACCCCCUCCAAAUGUUCGUUUACACCUGAAUCCCGGUGGGUUAUUUUCCCUAGUUCAUAGUGAUCAUUGAGAAGGGAUCCGAUUGGUACUUGACGCAACGUUCGAGCCACAUACAAACAAGAAAAUAACAUACAUUUUUUCUUCAUGUUGACAAUAAUCACAUAACUGUUGUAUUUCAGGAAAUUUAUCUAUUGACAGAUUUCCUAUUGAAGUUCAUCUAGCCUAAUUUGGGAUUUAUGAGUUUGCGAGUGGAUUUAUUUUUCCAUUGAUCACAUUUGCCGCUGGGCUUUUAGUUUCCGGUGAUGCUUUUUCUUUCCAUUGCAGUAAUUAAUUAAUUUUUUGACAUGUAAUAGAUGUUUCAAAUUUGCUUGUUUAAGCUUAAACAAUAUACUAGUAAGUAAAUAAAUUAAUUUCAUAUAAAAUAAAUAUUUCUAAUAAUUAAUUUUGGCACAUUAAGCUUUAUCAAAUUUGGUCUGCUGCACAUUAUAGACAUCGCGGAUAUGAAUUAUUGGUCAUGUCCUUGCUCUCUGUAUAUCUGUUCUUAAUUUACAUUAUUAGGUUCCAUUUGAUUCCUAUUUUUUGGUCAAAAAAUGAAAAAUAUGAUCGUUAUUCAUCACACUACGUCAUCAUAUUUGACUUUUUACUUCUUAUGUGGAUUCCAUAACAAUUAUAUUUUUCAUGCUCAUUCUUAUUCUUAUAAGAAUGAGAAUCAAAUGGGACUUAAUAAAUUUAUUACAGUAAAGUAGUUGAUAAUUUAAGGAUGUGGGUCCUAUUUAUGGAGGUUUUAUUUAUUUAUUUAUUUUGAGGAAGUACUUUAAUAUUUAUUUACUCCUGUCAAUCUAUUAAACUUUCUUGACAACAUUGCAAUUUCAAGAAAAAAUUUAAUACAAAGAUGGUAAGUAAUGCAAUGAUAUUGCCUACAAGGCACAAGCAAUGUGACUUUCCCAAAAGCCUUUUGAGAAAGAGUAAAGGCUUCCAUGUAAGAAAUAGUUGAGAUCACUUGUAUUAAUCCUUUAAAACGACUCCUCGACUGCGCAAGGGACAUCGAUGACAGUUUGCAGCAGUCUCUUGCUUCUUCUCGCCUGCAGUUGCUGCUCUAAGCACUCUAUCAGUGCUUGGGAAAUCGGAAAGGGAAAUCCUUUUCAUGUUUCAUAUAGGCUCCUACUAUGCGGAAAUGGAGAAAUUUUGCAACUUCUGAUUUAAAUGGACACAGUUUCAAGUUCACAAUUACUUUUAAAAUCAUCGGAGAUUUGUAUUCUCUAUGUAUAAAUCUAUUUGAUCUAACCCUAUUUGGCUCAGAUUUUAAUAUGAGUUAAAAUCAAACAAACAAUGUUAAUUACAUUUUCAUGGGUUCCACAAUUUUUUGACCACACAUUUCGAAAAAUUUCUAUCAAAAUCUGUUAAAAAUCUAAUUUUAAUCCUCACCAAACAUCCUGCCAUGUUGUUUGAUGACACUUGAAAAAAAAGAAAAAAAGAAACAUGGUCAUCUUUCCAAUGGUUGAAAAAGUAGAGAAAAUGAUGUAAUGUGUUAAUGGUUAGUACAUAGUGCUGCAUUGACUAGAUUUAGUUCUUAACAUUUGAUGUAUUACAUAUUGAUGGAACUAUUCUCGAGUUGCAGUUAAAUCAGUAAUUGGAUCUCUAGAAAAUCACACAACUAGAGCAGACUAAGGUCAACCCAAUUUUAUCAUAACUGCUUUUUUCUACCUACCAACCGGAGUCCUUAAACUUCACAAAAUAUGCCAUUUCUGUCUUCAUUCAAUUCUAUUUCACACACACAUCUUCAAACUUUCAAUCUGUGCACACUAAUUGGAAACCUGCAACAAAUAGCCUACGUGACAAGUUGAUCCCAAUCAGUAAAAAGGUACAUUCUUUGUGUUGUAUUCGAGAAAACCGGCAUUAGUAGAUUUUGCAAAUUCCAUAAUCAGCUUGAAAAGUUCAAUAGAAAAGAAAAGAAAAACGCAGCUACCAGAAUAAAAAAACUAAUUUCAAAUAUAUGAAUUAUCAUAGAUACGUUAGUAAUACAUGUUUGUAGACAUACAUUUGUUCUACUACUACAUAAAGAAAGAAUCAGUUUAUUGCUUUAGAAGUCCUUCAUGAUUAGCUUAUCAAGAAGUUUAAACGCAGGCAAUAGCUUUCUCUCCCUGCAAACUACAUCAAUUAGUAGACUCCAUGUAUUUGGCUCUGGUUUAAACCCCAUAUCCAUCAAAAGGAACGACGUAACAGCAGCUUCAUUUGCCUUUCCGGCCUCACAAAGACGAACCAGUAACUCAUUUGAUGUAGCGAAAUGGGGCAGAAAACCCCUAUCCAGCAUCAGACGCAACAAAUUAUUCGCCUUCUCCAAUUCACCUUCCUUGCACAAGAAAUUUAACACAAUCCUGUAACUAGCCUUGUUAAGAUAAACACCAUCAUAUGGUAACCUCUCGAGCAUGUUGAGUGCCUCAUCAAAUCUACCUUCUCUGCACAAUCCCCCGAGUAUUACAUUAAACGUCACCUCAUCUGCUUUGCACUCAUUUUCUUUCAUCUCCUUGAGCAGAACAAUGGCUUCAUCAGUUCUAGCAGCUCUGCACAAGAAGUUAAUUAAAGUGGUAAAAAUAACAGUAUCAGGUUUCAGACCAGCACUUUUCAUCUCAUCAAAAGUUCCCUUGGCUUCCUCCAGUCUUCCCUCCUUACAGAACCCAUUCAUUAAUGCUGAGUAAUUGAUUACAUUAGGGUUGCAUCCAUUUUUCUUCAUGAAUUCCAUUAUCUUCCUAGCUCUGUCAGUUUUUCCUCCACGAGAAAACCCAUUGAUUAAAACACUGUAAGUUAAUGCAUCAGGCACAAUUUGAUGUUUUGUGAGCAUUUCCUCAAACAGAUCGAUUGCUUCUUUUAGUCUGCCGCUUCCACAAAGACCAUCCAUCAGAGUUGAAUAGGUGAUCAAGUUAGGAAAAGAUACCUUUGACUUUUCCAUCUCUUUUACCACUUCAAAUGCAGACGCUAGAUCUCCCCUUUUGCAGUGGUGUUUAACCAAAAUGUUAAAGAUGCAUGUAUUGGGUUCCAAAUGUUUUCAAAAAAAAAAAAAGUCCCCCCCCCCCCCCCCCCAUUCUGACUCAUUUUUGUUGGAUAAUAUUGAAAAGAUAAAGCACAUCGACACUGUAAUUGGACAGGGAAGGUAUGAUGUUUGCUGCCCCAUGAUGUCUGCCUGGGAUCUUCACAAAGCUUGGCCAGAGGUUGAUUUCAUAAUUGUUCCUGAUGCUAGGCAUUCUGCUAAUGAGCCGGGGACAUCAGAACAACUGGUUGCUGCAACCAAUAAAUUGAAACACAUCAUCAAGGAGAAGUAAAGCUAAAGUUUUCAGCCAUUAGUUUUUAUUUGAUCCUGUAUUGUGAACCUAAGGUAGUUUAUUUCCCAUUUGUUGGAUUUGAAGUUCAUGUGAAGAGUCGACAACUUGUUAGAGGGGCAUCCUUUCAGUUCUGUUUCGUGAAUUUGAUGACUAUACUUCAAGUAUAUGAACUUGGUGACAUAAUAAUAAUAAUGGGGAUGAAUAUAGCGAUUUUUUAAAAGAUUUUGAAAUUGUUUCAAGAAUGUAUUUAGAGUGAGAUGAAUAUAUAAAAUUUGUGUGGAUAUAUAUUGUUUAAAUGAAAUAAUUCAAUAAGGAAAAUAUUGGAAUGUAACGUGGAUGACAAUAGUAAUUUUUUAAAAUUUUAAUAUUUUUGUAGGGAAUAUAUAUAAUAAAAGAAACAAAUUAUUGUGUUAAAUUGCAAAUGGAUGAUAAGUAGUAAAGUGUAAAAUUCGAGUGUCCAUUUAUGAUCUGUGACAGUGGAGCUUUGUGUUAUUUUCCAAAAGGAAUGGGAUGUUUUUGUAUUUGUCAUAAACUAUGGGGGAGGAUUGUGCAGUUUUAUCAAGGCAUAGAAAGGGGGGGAAGGGAAAACGAAAAAACCUAUUGUACAGUUAGGGCAGACGAAUUCUGCAGAUUGCGUCCCCAAUCAAAGGUUUAAAACCCUUCUCUCCCAAAUGCCAAAUCACAGAUUCCUUUUCUCUGUUUAAGUUUCCGCAGACUGCAAUCAUUACUAUUAGAUAGAUUUUUAGAUAGUGAAAAUAGCGGAACUAUAAUUUAUUUAUUUAUUUAUUUAUACAGAUUUAUUCAAUAAAUUAUCAAAUUGGGGGAGAAGGGUUUUUUAUUUAAAAAUAUACCCCUGUGUAUAGAUUCAUAUAUAUUGAAUAAUUUAGUGAGAGACUGCGAGAAGCAAGGAGAGUGAAAAUGUCGAAGAAGAAAGCAACGAUGACUCUCAAAGACUUCCAUGGCGGUUCCAUUCCUUCCGAUCUUCGACUCCCCUCUGCACCUGGCCUGUGAGUUCUUUUUAUCUUUUUGACGCUUCCAUUUCAUUAUUGAUUAUACCGGAAGAAGUAUACAUGUCAAGUCUGUUUUUGUAAUGUGAUUUUGGGAAAAUGUCAGGUUUUUUUUUUUUUUUUUUGAGUUCAAUACUAUACUUAUUCAUUUGGUCUCAAUUCAAGAUCAUUUUUUUAAGUUGAAUUUUAUACCCAACAAAUUGUAGUGUCAUUUCCCAUUAAUUCCUUGAAUCCAGGUUUAUUUGUUUAUUUAAUUUGAGGAAAUGUUUAGUGGGCAUUUUAUUUAUUUUGUAAAUCAGAACAGUAAAAUACUGGAUUUAGUAUUUGAAAUUUUGAAUAUGGUUCAUAUUUUUGGACAGAAUGGCAAGACCUGCAGAUCGAGGUAGUUUUGAUCAGCAGUCGCCAUGGGGAAAUUCGAUGGGUAGGUCCAGUCAACGCUUGAGGCCGGCAUCAGCUGGGUCAGCUAGGAACUUUGAUGACAAGACCCCAUUUUUAAGUCACAGUGCCCACAUUGGCCGCAAUUUUGAUGAGGAUGAACGCAAGCCUUUGGAUGGGUUGUCAGGUUCUCGACGAACUGUCACUGAUGAGAGCAACCGUGCUCCGCCAAGUCGUGUGGUAGAACCUAAGAUAGAUAGUUUGGCUGGUGCUAGAGUUGGUAGUCAGCUGUCUUCAACCCCUCCCUCUCAUUUGUCUAGUGAUACAACUGUUAGUUCUUAUGCUGGAAAUGCUGGUAGGCAUAGUGAAGUUCAUAACAUAGGGUCGAAUAUUCAAAAUUUUAGGUCAGCUGUUGCUGGUUCCUAUUCAAAUCCAUGGGGUGUGAAGAAGGAGGUGGCACAUGUGAGUGACCCUGUAUCUGCUUCAUGGUCAGCUCCGGAUGUUGCAGUGAAGCUGUCACAUGCUAGUGCCAUUGAGAAGGUCUACUCUGGUCGGUGGCAUUCGCAACAUGUUCAUCCUCAAAAAGAUGUUGAGGCCAUUGGACAGUCGGAACCUGAGAGAGAAUUUCAUUGUCGGGGCAAAGACAUGUCCAACAGGAAUAUUUACAAUGGUACAAAUGUGUUAGGUGGAACUGACUAUCAUGAUAUUGCAUUGGCGAUGCAUAUGGAAAGGAGUCUGAUUGCUGGUGAUGGGAUUCACAAUGGUGGAAAGGAGACACUGUCUCAUGAUAGAGUCAGGAGUACCAUGUACACGGAGAUGCAUGGGAGGAAUCCUUCCGUUAAUGACAAGGAAUUUCAGCCACGUAGCACUACUGGAGUAUCUGGUGAUACUGAGUUACAGUCUCCAGGGACUUCAGAAACAUCAGAGCGACCCAAAUUGAAGUUACUUCCAAGAUCCAAACCGUUAGAGGAUUUAGAGCUUCCUCUCGAUUAUAAACAGGUAAAAGUUAGUGUUUUAACAUUCUGAUUUUUCUAUUGAACUGGAAAUCAAGUAUAAUUUAAUGUAUCUUUGCAAUUCGUCUUUCUGAGUGAAGGGACGCCAGCUGCCAAGUGAUCCGAUUCAUUUGAGGGUCGACAAUGAAUUACCCAGAACUGCAAUUCCUGUAGAACCUGGGUUUACUGGAUCAAUGGUCGUUAAUCAUGCGGUAGAGCGCCCAAAAUUGAGAUUAAAGCCUUGCUCACUACCUCUUGAACAAUUGGAGGGAAACACUGAAAUCAGAAGGUCCAUCAACUUUUACUAACUUGCUCACAGAAUUUUUUGUCGCUUAUUUCUUCUCGACCUGUUUGCAUUCUUAGUCUAUUUGAUUUUUUUUUAUUUUACUCGUGACAGGAUAAAUAGAUUACAUUACUAUUGAUGAAACUUUAUAGUAAUUGACAGAUGAUAAACUGAGGUAAUUAUACUGUUUCAAAUAGCAAUAGAUGUAACUUUUAUAAAAUUUUAAUUGCCAAGGAGAUGCCAAAGGUAUUGUGCUCCAAGGAGAUUCUAAUAAAGGUAUUGUGCUCGGCACAAACUUGGUCAUUUUUCUCAGCCUCAUCAAAUUGUUGCAACUUAUAACGACUUCAACAAGGUACCUUAAUGUUGACAAUGAGUGCAUUUUAGGAAUAGGAAAUUGGGUUUUCAGCUUGCUAAGUCCGCAUGUUUUCAGUGUUAGAAUGGCAGAGAAGUUACAACUUGAACUUUUUAGCCCACUCUCAUGCAAUAAGUAACACUCAAAGACCAACCACUGUAGGUACCCUUUUCUUGAGGUUUUCACUGCCAAUGACGAUGGUAAGUUGUAGCACGAGACUUAGCAAUCACCUGAGUUGGUGGUGUAGAAGCAGUACCAGUAGGUUCUGGAUUGGAGCAGCAGUGACUACAUUAACUGGUUGUAACAUUAAAGGGACGUUGGCAAUCAGUUAUAACCUAUUAUAACUUAUAAUAGAAGUAGUAAUGUAACUGCAGUAGCAAAAAUACCAAUACUAGAGUCUGUUAACUUCAGCUUAAGAAAAGAAUUAAGCUUGUUGUACGUUAUUAUUUAUCAGAUAUAAAAAAAAAUUCAGAAGAUGGUACUUCUUUUACCAUCACAAUUUACCUUUCUUAUGCUUGUUUCUCUUGGAAUUUUAGUUUCUCCCAGUGAGAACUCUCUUGUUGAUCCUCUC